rnacentral:rRNA from 1 species
UACGUAGGUGGCAAGCGUUGUCCGGAAUUAUUGGGCGUAAAGCGCGCGCAGGCGGUCCUUUAAGUCUGAUGUGAAAGCCCACGGCUCAACCGUGGAAGGUCAUUGGAAACUGGGGGACUUGAGUGCAGAAGAGGAAAGUGGAAUUCCAAGUGUAGCGGUGAAAUGCGUAGAGAUUUGGAGGAACACCAGUGGCGAAGGCGACUUUCUGGUCUGUAACUGACGCUGAGGCGCGAAAGCGUGGGGAUCAAACAGG